AGAGAUCGGGCGUUCCCCUUCGGGGGACAGGGUGACAGGUGGUGCAUGGUUGUCGUCAGCUCGUGUCGUGAGAUGUUGGGUUAAGUCCCGCAACGAGCGCAACCCUCGACCUUUAGUUGCCAGCAUUCAGUUUGGGCACUCUAAAGAGACUGCCGGUGUCAAACCGGAGAAGUGGGGAUGACGUCAAGUCCUCAUGGCCUUUAUGACCAGGGCUACACACGUACUACAAUGGCAGGUACAAAGGGCAGCCACUUAGCGAUAAGGGCGCGAAUCCCGUAAAACCUGUCUCAGUCCGGAUUGGAGUCUGCAACUCGACUCCAUGAAGUUGGAAUCGCUAGUAAUCGCAGAUCAGCACGCUGCGGUGAAUACGUUCCCGGGCCUU
rnacentral:rRNA from 1 species